UAGGGAAUCUUCCACAAUGGCGAAAGCCUGAUGGAGCAACGCCGCGUGUGUGAUGAAGGGUUUCGGCUCGUAAAACACUGUUGUAAGAGAAGAAUGACAUUGAGAGUAACUGUUCAAUGUGUGACGGUAUCUUACCAGAAAGGAACGGCUAAAUACGUACCAG
rnacentral:rRNA from 1 species